GACCUCCGAUCAAGCAAGAGGAUCCGCUGAAUUUAAG
rnacentral:rRNA from 1 species